UUCUACACAAACUGCUGCCCUGAUGGCCUCCCCAGCCCGUGUUUGUGAAUUGAUUAUUGAACCCAGCUCAAGACCUUAUAUUUAUCCUUUCUACAUCUCAGCUUUUUGGUUUUCAUCUGCAACAGAAAUAAUUUUGAACCUUGAGUGUCGUCCAUCAUAUUUAUCAUCUUUCAAUGUUUUAUGUCAGCUGCAAAAAUACCUUUAUUGCAAUCUUUGAGAACUAAGGUUGAUCAGGAAAGGUGCGUGGACAAGCCCUUGCUUGUACCACUAGAGAGCUCCGCUGAGAUGGACACUGGCUGUUAAUGGGCACUUCUGGGAUCUAUUUGUUCAGGCAGCUGCAAAUCUGCCUCUAUUAUCAUCUACUUUCGUGUUUGCUUCUAAAAGCUUUAUUCUGACAGUAAUGAAUUGCAUUUAUGAAUGCUGAAUAAAAAUGUUGAUGACAGUAUUUAAUUUAUUGAAGAAAUUUAUAAAAGAGUAUGAAAUUUGGCACUUCUCUUAGGCUCUUAGGGCUGACUGCUGUGCCAUCAAGAGGAAAAUCUGGACCAGUUCCCCAGCCAAGUGGGUGAUGACAGUGGCAGGUAGACCUAAAGUUCUAAACGGCAGAUGGGGGAGUGCCUACCCCAUCAUCUAAGUGACCAAGUCUGCAACGGGAGAGCCGUUUGCUACCAAACAGUGACUAUCUUAUAACGGUGUCCAUUCAUGGACGGCCCCUGAAGUCAACUCUCAUCCUGCCAUGACUUCUUUAUGAUAACAGCCGUCAUAGAUGGAGCACCCACUCAGCGCCGGGCAAUGCAGACACACCUGUAAUCCUCAGAACCACCUCACGAGGAGGCUCAUCCCCAUGUCUGGAUUAAAAUUGUCAGAAGAAACUGUGAAAGAGCUUGAAACGGCAAGAGAUGACCUUUCAGUGGGACACUGGGGUUGUUGGGCAGAUCUCAAAGGGUUUAGCAUUUAUAAAUGGUAGAAAACUGAUAGUAAUGCGAAGACUCUUAUCCAUAGAAAAGCAGAUAAUUUUUUUCAUAUAGACAUGCAACUGAUUUCUGCCCUGUAGAAAAGAGGAUUUCAAACAUGACACUUUAGUGCCCAUAGGUAUUAAUCUAUUAAUAAAUUCAUCUCCAUACCUAACAGGUACUAAUAGCAAAUUUUCUCAAUUUUUCAUCUACCAGCAACUUCAUUUCGGCAUUCACGACUGGUUAUAUGUUUGUUCCUCAGAUUCUCAUUUGAAUCAAUGGAACACGUUGUUGGUUCUCUCUUUAAUUAAAGAGUUAAGUAAAACCUUUGACACAUGUUCAUAUUAUAUUUGUGUGAAACUCAUGGUUUUAGCAUUUUGAGGAUUUUCCUCUAACGACAAUUAACAACCUUCAGGGGCCAUCCCUCUGGUCCCUGUUACUUGGGCAGCCUGAUUUUAUACCCCAGAAUUUCUGACAGGAGAAUUGGCACUCUCAGAUCAAACCUCUGCUUUUCUGAGAAUGGGAUCCAGCUGACUGGAACAUCCACGCAGUCCUCAUUCAAGCUGCACAAUGGGGCUGGCUUAGAGGUUUGUUGGGAAUGGAGGAGGGGCACUUAUAGCCUGACAUGGCAGAGCGAUUAGGAUAAAACCCAACACUGGGUACCCUUCUUAAGCCCUUGACCCUCCCCGCCACCCGGGAGCUCCCAUUGGUCAGACCUGCCCCUGAGUGCCUGCCCCAACCCUUCUUGAGCCCCCUCUUUCAUCUCCCCUGUUCUCCACAUCUGCAGACUCCUCACCCCUUCUCUCAUCUUCUGUGGCAGAACCGUCAGCCCCACCUUUGUCUUGCAAGACUUUAACGCCAGGUGCUGGGAUCUAUGUUUCCCCGUCCAAGUGACCCAUUUAGGUAUUCAAACAACAGCAAGAAAAAUCAUUGAGAUCCUCACCCUAAGAGGAAUUAUGCUGCCAGCUUCAUUAUGAUGACAUCAAUAGCUAACCUUUUGAGCACAUAGUGUAUGUCCAGGACCGGACUGAGCACUUUACGUUGACUGAGCAUGUGGGAAAGCUCAUGUUCCUGACUCGGUUUCUUCAUUUAUGAAGAAGGAAAGCAGAGAUAAUUGGUCAGAACCAAGAGGGUAUCUGCUCAAAUUUAAAGUUAUGUAUUGUGUGCCCUCGAACAGGGAGAUUGUACAUCCAUUUAACUGAAGAUUAAUCUGUAAUACAUUCUUAAUUGCAAGAAUAUACAUUUUUCAGGCAGCCCGUUAGAUAACACUGAGUUUCAUGAUUAUUCAACACAGUACAUUUAAAUCUGAAGUCAGAAUGUAAAAUAUGACAUUUGGGAAGAUGUACGAGGUUGUACAGGGAGAUUUGGAAUUCAUAAAGCCAUGAAGUGAUUUAUAUUUGUCAGACAUGGAACAUUUUUUAACUAAUCUUCAUAAAAACAAAAUGUGAAUCAAUAAAAGUUAUCCCAGACAUUCUAGGCCUUUGUGUCUAUGGGAGGCAGGGGCUGGGGGAAGGGAUGGGGAGGAGACUUUCUAAAUUUAGAAAAGAAAGUGGUAACUGAGUACCUGAGAAAGCUUUCUAUCACACCUCAUCUGUCUCCUUCCUCCUUCAGUGACUCAGUUUAGCAGUGAAUGAAAGAGACCAAACAGAUGACCAAACGCAGCAUUGACUGCACUUUCGUUUGUGGGUCCUAGCUCCAUCACUUCCUGUUGGUGGCCGUGGCAGAUGACUUAAACCAUUCACGAGAUAAGAAUAACAGGAGUCCUCUCCAGGUGUUAUUCUGGGGAGUGAAGGAGGCAGUGCAAUUAAGGCCCCGGUACAGUGAGCAGCACACAGGAAACAGUCAAACAUUGCGAUAUUACUCGAUUUCCUUUGAGAUCGUUUUUCCCUUGGGGCUGUUCACGUGGUCCCCGAUAGUCUGGCUGUGUGGCUGCCAGGGGUGGGGGCGGGGGCGUUCGCUCAGAGAUCCUGCCCGGGAAGCCACACCCCAAACACCCCCUCCCUGUGCUCACCAGGGCCCUGAACGCUUUAGCAGGAACACAACCUCUCCCUCCUCUGGUGCUUACAGAGGCGCAGCCCUUCAGAGUCUGCGCUGAGUCUAAACAGGACUUAAAGAAAGAGCAGUUUCUGACGCUGAAAAGCCAGCGGCCAGGUGUUUCCUGGCAGCAAGGGCAAAGGCAGGAAGACAGAGGGAAAAGCGAACAGCCCCACACCCGACGGUCCCGGAACAAACCUGAGCCUCCUCAGUUUCACCAAGACCUGUGCACUUCAGCGAUUCCAUCCAUCCGAAGCUUUGGAUAAAGGACAGGAAGGAAGGGCAGCCACAGGGCCUUUGCAUCCGCCAGGGCUGCAGAUCUCCCAAGCAACCUGCGGGGUGGACUGGGUGUGAGUUUCCAGCAUCCAGCAGCCAGAAUCAGGAGGAAGCCCAAAGCCAAGGAACAAAGUAAAGCUUAGCCGUGGAGGCGAAGUGAUGCGUCACCAAGCACAGAUCACCAGACGGAACAGCAGCCGAGUAAGUACACUAGCCUGAAGUCGGAAUGGCUCAGGGUAAACCCACUUCCGUCCGUUGUCAAAGUGCCUGCAAGUACUGGAUUCUAGUUGUUUGGGCUCCGUCUCUGUUUAUUUUUUUUUAAUUGUUGUAAAAUACACAAAAUUUACCUUCUAAAUCAUUUUUGUGUACUGUUCAGUGGUAUUAAAUACACUCACAUUGUUGUGUGACCACCACCACCAUCCAUCCCCAUAACUUUUUAUCUUGUGACACUGAAAUUCUACACCUAUUCAACAAUAACUCCCCAUUCACCUCUCCCUCCUGCCCCUGGCAACCACCAUUAUACUCUGUCUUUAUGAUUUUGACUGCUCUAAAGUUCCUCAUAUAAGUGGAGUCAUACGGCAUUUGUCUUUUUGUGACUGGCUUAUUUCACCGUGUGUAAUGUCCUACGGACCAUCUAUGUUGCAGCAUAUUGCAGAAUUUCCUUCCUCUUUAAGGCUGAAUAAUAUUCCAUUGUGUGUAUAUAGCACACCUUGCUUAUCCACUCAUCUGUCAACGGACACAGGUUGCUUUCAUGGUUUAGAUAUUGUCAAUAAUGCUGCUAUGAAUGUGGCAUACAAAUACCUCUUUAAGACCCUGCUUUCAGUUCUUUAUAUACCCAGAAGUGGAAUUGCAGCAUCAUAUGAUAAUUCUAUUUUUAAUUUUUUGAGGAACUGCCGCACUGCUUUCCACAGCAGCUGUACCAUUUUACUUUCCCACCAACAGUGCACAGGGUUCUAAUUUCUCCACACCCUCACCAACACUUGUUUUCUGAUAGUAGCCAUUUGAAUGAGUGUGAGGUGAGAUCUCAUUAUAGUUUUGAUUGGCAUUUCCCCAAAUGAUUAGUGAUGUUGAACAUCUUUCCAUGUGCCUAUUGGCCAUUUGUUUAUCCUUUUUGGGGAAAAGUCUGUUCAAGUCCUUGCCCAUUUUUUAAUCAUGUUAUCUUUUUAGUGUUGAGUUUUAGGAUUUCUCUCUAUAUUCUAGAUAUUAACCCCUCAUCAGAUAUAUGAUUUGCAAAUAUGUUUUCCCACUCUGUGGGUUGCCUUUGUUCUCUGUGAUUAGUGUCUUUUGAUGCACAAAUUUUUUUAAUUUUCAUGAAGCCCAAUUUGUCUAUUUUCUUUUGUUUUUACCUGUGCAUUUGGUGUCAUAUCCAAAAAAUUAUUGCAAAUCCAAUGUCAUGAAGCUUUUGUGCUAUGUUUUCUUGAGUUUUAUUGUUUUAGGUGUUACAUUUAGGACUGUCAGCCACUUUGAGUUAAUUUUUGUAUAUGACAUUAG
ensembl:lncRNA